rnacentral:misc_RNA from 1 species
AAAGUCGUAACAAGGUUUCCGUAGGUGAACCUGCGGAAGGAUCAUUACCGAGUUCAUGCCCUUCGGGGUAGAUCUCCACCCUUGCUUAUCUUACCUGUUGCUUUGGCGGUUCGUCUCUCGAGCCACCGGCCUUGGCUGGUGUGUGACCGCCAGAGAAUCAUCAACUCUGAAUUAUUAGCGUCGUCUGAGUACUAUACAAUAGUUAAAACUUUCAACAACGGAUCUCUUGGUUCUG